rnacentral:rRNA from 1 species
GACGAACGCUGGCGGCGUGCUUAACACAUGCAAGUCGAACGGAAAGGCCCUGCUUUUGUGGGUUGCUCGAGUGUCUAACGUUUGAUUAACACUUUAGUAACCUGCCCUUUACUUUGGUAUAACUUCAGGAAACUUUGGCUCAUACCUGAUAUUAUCUCCUGCUUCUUGUUUGUUGUUGGAAAGUUUCGGCGGUUGGGGAUGUACUCGCGGCUUAUCAGCUUUUUGGUGGGGUAGUGGCUUACAAAGGCUUUGACGGGUAGCCGGCCUGAGAGGGUGACCGGCAAAAGUGGGACUGAGAUACGGCCCAGACGCCUAAGGGAGGCAGCAGUGGGGAAUAUUGAACAAUGGGCGGAAGCCUGAUGCAGCAACGCCGAGUGCGGGAUGACGGCCUUCGGGUUGUAAACCGCUUUCGCCUGUGACGAAGCGUGAGUGACGGUAAUGGGUAAAGAAGAACCGGCUAACUACGUG